ACGGAGGGUGCAAGCGUUAAUCGGAAUUACUGGGCGUAAAGCGCACGCAGGCGGUUUGUUAAGUCAGAUGUGAAAUCCCCGGGCUCAACCUGGGAACUGCAUCUGAUACUGGCAAGCUUGAGUCUCGUAGAGGGGGGUAGAAUUCCAGGUGUAGCGGUGAAAUGCGUAGAGAUCUGGAGGAAUACCGGUGCGAGGGCGGCCCCCUGGACGAAGACUGACGCUCAGGUGCGAAAGCGUGGGGAGCAAACAGG
rnacentral:rRNA from 1 species